UCCAACAGGGAUUGCCUCAGUAACGGCGAGUGAAGCGGCAACAGCUCAAAUUUGAAAUCUGGCCCUAGGCCCGAGUUGUAAUUUGCAGAGGAUGCUUCUGGCGCGGUGCCUUCCAAGUCCCCUGGAACGGGGCGCCAUAGAGGGUGAGAGCCCCGUCUGGUUGGCCGCCAAGCCUGUGUGAAGCUCCUUCGACGAGUCGAGUAGUUUGGGAAUGCUGCUCUAAAUGGGAGGUAGACCCCUUCUAAAGCUAAAUACCGGCCAGAGACCGAUAGCGCACAAGUAGAGUGAUCGAAAGAUGAAAAGCACUUUGAAAAGAGGGUUAAACAGUACGUGAAAUUGUUGAAAGGGAAGCGCUUGUGACCAGACGUGCGUCGGGGUGUUCAGCGGGCGUUCUCGCCCGUGCACUCGCCCCGGUGCAGGCCAGCGUCGGUUCGGGCGGGGGGACAAAGGCGCCGGGAACGUAGCUCCUCCGGGAGUGUUAUAACCCGGCGUGUCAUGCCCCCGCCUGGACCGAGGUUCGCGCUCCGCAAGGACGCUGGCGUAAUGGUCCCCAGCGGCCCGUCUUGAAACACGGACCAAGGAGUCGAGGUUUUGCGCGAGUGUUUGGGUGUCAAACCCGCACGCGUAAUGAAAGUGAACGCAGGUGGGAGCUUCGGCGCACCACCGACCGAUCCUGAUGUUCUCGGAUGGAUUUGAGUAAGAGCGUAGGGCCUCGGACCCGAAAGAUGGUGAACUAUACGUGAAUAGGGUGAAGCCAGAGGAAACUCUGGUGGAGGCUCGCAGCGGUUCUGACGUGCAAAUCGAUCGUCAAAUUUGCGUAUGGGGGCGAAAGACUAAUCGAACCAU
rnacentral:rRNA from 1 species